GGAACUGCAGAUGCUGGAAUAUAGAAACAUAGAAAUUAGGUGCAGGAGUAGGCCAUUCGGCCCUUCGAGCCUGCACCAUUCCCCAUUCAAUAUGAUCAUGGCUGAUCAUCCAACUCAGUAUCCCGUACCUGCCUUCUCUCCAUACCCUCUGAUCCCCUUAGCCACAAGGGCCACAUCUAACUCCCUCUUAAAUAUAGCCAAUGAACUGGCCUCGACUACCCUCUGUGGCAGAGAGUUCCAGAGAUUCACCACUCUCUGUGUGAAAAAAUUCUUCUCCUCUCGGUUUUAAAGGAUUUCCCCCUUAUCCUUAAGCUGUGACCCCUUGUCCUGGACCAUUCCUUCUUAACCAGAGAUUCUGCCUGUUCCACUGAGUUACUCCAGCAUUUUGCAUCAAACUUCCUGUACUGGGAUGUCUGGUUGGUCAGUGUACCUGUGUGGACAGGUUGGUCAGUGUACCUGUGUGGCCAGGUUGGUCAGUGUACC